CUACGGGCCGCUGCAGUGAGGAAUUUUGCGCAAUGGGGGAAACCCUGACGCAGCAACGCCGCGUGAGUGAAGAAGGCCCUUGGGUCGUAAAGCUCUGUCAAUGGGGAAGAAGUUAUUAUGUAUUAAUAGUGCAUUUUAUUGACGGUACCCAUGAAGGAAGCACCGGCUAACUCCGUGCCAGCAGCCGCGGUAAUACGGGGGGUGCAAGCGUUAUUCGGAAUUAUUGGGCGUAAAGGGCACGCAGGCGGUCCUGUCAGUCAGAUGUGAAAGCCCGGGGCUCAACCCCGGACGUGCAUUUGAAACAGCAGGACUUGAGUACGGGAGAGGAAAGGGGAAUUCCUGGUGUAGAGGUGAAAUUCGUAGAUAUCAGGAGGAACACCGGUGGCGAAGGCGCCUUUCUGGACCGAUACUGACGCUGAGGUGCGAAGGCGUGGGUAGCGAACGGGAUUAGAUACCCGGGUAGUC
rnacentral:rRNA from 1 species